rnacentral:rRNA from 1 species
GACAGAGGCCUCGAGCGUUAGGCGGAAUCACUGGGCUUAAAGCGUGUGUAGGCGGAUGCCUAAGUACCUUGUGAAAUCCCACGGCUCAACCGUGGAACUGCUGGGUAUACUGGGUGUCUUGGGCCAUUCAGGGGCGACUGGAACAAGCGGUGGAGCGGUGAAAUGCGUAGAUAUCGCUUGGAACGCCGAAGGUGAAAACAGGUCGCUGGGGAUGUGCCGACGCUGAGACACGAAAGCCAGGGGAGCAAACGGG